rnacentral:rRNA from 1 species
GUGGGGAAUCUUGCGCAAUGGGCGAAAGCCUGACGCAGCCAUGCCGCGUGGAUGAUGAAGGUCUUAGGAUUGUAAAAUCCUUUCACCGGUGAAGAUAAUGACUGUAGCCGGAGAAGAAGCCCCGGCUAACUUCGUGCCAGCAGCCGCGGUAAUACGAAGGGGGCUAGCGUUGCUCGGAUUUACUGGGCGUAAAGGGCGCGUAGGCGGACAUUUAAGUCAGGGGUGAAAUGCCGGGGCUCAACCUCGGAACUGCCUUUGAUACUGGGUGUCUUGAGUAUGAGAGAGGUGUGUGGAACUCCGAGUGUAGAGGUGAAAUUCGUAGAUAUUCGGAAGAACACCAGUGGCGAAGGCGACACACUGGCUCAUUACUGACGCUGAGGCGCGAAAGCGUGGGGAGCAAACAGGAUUAGAAACCCUGGUAGUCC